AGCGGGAGCCUUGCGGACGCGCUCCCGGCCUGCAGCGCACCCGGGGCACCGCGGGUGUGGCGUGUGCUCUUCAGCCCCGAGCGCCCGGCUCUUCCUCUGAGUCCCCAGAAACGUGUAGCAGAUUCAGGUUUUUUUUUUUUUUUUUUAACUGGCGACGUAAGGCUGCUGCUUGCGAGGUGUUCAUGUGAGAAAAGGGAUGAGUUGCUGUUUCAGCGCUGAGGGUUGAGAUUAGAAACCAAGGUUUCGGUUCUGCAGUUGACGGCGGGCGAUGUGAGCGAAUCCGAAGGUCUCGUUCUGCAGCAGAGAAGCUGCUCUUUCCUGUGAGAGCAGGGUGUUGUGUGAGAAUAUAAACGUGUGAGGCUGAGGGAAAUCCAAAGAAGGUGUAUCUGGUACAAAAAGCCUCCUUAUCGAGCUCUACACAGUAAAUUGCCAUGCCGAGAUGUAUAAUUGAGCGCUGUCAGUAUUCUCUAACAUACCACGUAUAGUCUUAAAACUGUGCCAGGGGAGGUUUAGGCUGGACAUUAGGAGGAAUUUCUUCACAGAAAGGGUGAUUCGAGGUUAGAAUGGGCUGCCCAGGGGAGUGGUGGAGUCAUGGUCCCUGGAGGUGGCAGUGGGUGCCAUGGUCUAGUCGACACGGUGGUGUUCGGAUACGGGUUGGACUCGAUGAUCUCAGAGUCUUUUCCAACCUAAUUGCUUCUGUGAUUCUGUGAAGGUGUUACUGUGUUGCCAGUAAUUCAGGGGUUGCUGUCAGGUGAAGGAUCUGGUCCCAGUUCUGCAGGCUCGUGAUUCUGUGCUGCUUGGAUCUGUUCAGAUCCACAUAGAAAUGGAAGGGAGGUGAAAAAACACAGGUGGAUUUUGAAAAACAUAAGCUUGAUACAGCUUAAUUACCAGUGUAUGGAAAAAGUACUAAUAGUUGUGGCCAUCUGCACAAAGCACAUAACUGUAUGUUUAACUCUUCAUUUAUUUUUCCUUCAAGGAGCUCUGCAAAAGAUGGAUUUCCAUACAAAAUCAGUCACAGAUAAUACAGUUUGGGCAUGUUUGAGGCAUACAGUUGAAACCCCAUAUUUUCAGUUCCUGCAAAUGGAACAGCAAUCUUUAUAUAAAACAUGUAAGAUUUUUAAAACCUUCACAGAGUACUCUUCGUAAGUUUUGCACUGCCUCAUGCUAAAAAUAUGAACAAUAGUGUUGAAGAUGAUUAUUAUUAUUCCUUUUAGCAUUCAUGAAAAUCUUGUGACAAAACAACAUUUUAUCAUAUAGAAGGGUCAUUCCUAGAAGGAAGGGAGAGAAUGUGAAUAAAAGAAGUGCUGUGGAAAUAAAAGAGCAAAAGCAUUCCAGGAGAGCUUAGAAGGCAGGAUAUCAACAUGUGCUGGUAACCUUGAUCUAAGAUACUUUUGACUCUAAACCAAACCUGAGGAUUAAAUGCUCAAAGAUUUGGAAAUGAGAUGAUUCAAGUCGAAAUGCAUGUUCAGAGUUGAAUUUUGCAGAUUUCCCUUAGCUCUUGACUUGCAAGAACUCUGCCAACAGACAUUGGAAAAACUUUGGCUUUCAGUUUGACUUUGGCAUGUUGUAUUUUGGCUCUUGCACACUGGUUAUCUGUUCACAUUUACAAUAAAUAAUGACUAGAAACCUAACUUGCAGCUAGACUGUUGGAAGUAACUUCUGGAAGGGUUUGCUUCCUUCUCUUUCCCCCACCCCUUUAAGACUUUUUGUCUUAUGGGAUUUGUUUGCAAUCUGCUAGCUGAAGCUCUGAGGCAAGUUUGCCAAAUCUGGGGCUGCAUCAUCGUUCUGCACAUCUGGAAGUGGUUUAUGGGCUCUCAUUCCUCCAGUGCAGCGUCUGGACUCUGUGCUAUUCCUCAGCAGCAGAGAAAGAAAAGAAAACCAGCACAACUCCAAAGUAAACUUUGAAGAGUCUGAAAAAGGAAUUGAAUCGUAAAACUGUUUCUGUGCCCUGCAAGGCCCUUGUGCGGGUGACUUCAAAGGAGGAUGGUGGUCAAGGAGGCUUUGGCAAGAGAGCUCACAGCUGUGGGCUAUCUAGGAUCCAAGUAAAUAGCUCCUCAGCGCUUCAGGAGAGAGGAGUCCCGAAUACUGUGCUGCUUUGAAGAGAUCACAGUUCUCAUCCAACUGGACACAUGGCUCUUUUAAAGAAAAUUAACCAGAUCUUACUGUUACUUCUUGUCUUAACUGUGUGUGCCAUUCUGUAUAACAAAGUUCACCAAGUGCCAUCGGCAUUAAAAAAUGAAACAGUUGAUUUGGAGAGUCCUGAGGAAACAGAAGAAGAAAUCCCAGUGGUGAUCUGCGCUGCUGCGGGCAGGAUGGGUGCAACUGUAGCAGCCAUCAGUAGCAUCCACAGCAACACAGAGGCCAGUGUUUUGUUCUACAUAGUUGGGCUGAAGACAACCAUCCCACAUAUUCGAAAAUGGAUCGAAAAUUCUAAACUGAAAGAAAUAAAAUUUAAGGUUGUAGAAUUCAACCCUAUGGUACUAAAAGGAAAAAUCAGACAAGAUGCAUCACGUCCUGAGCUACUGCAGCCUCUGAACUUCGUUCGAUUUUAUCUUCCUUUGCUUAUCCAGAAACAUGAGAAAGUAAUAUAUUUGGAUGAUGAUGUUAUUGUUCAAGGUGACAUCCAGGAGCUCUAUGAUACUAAGUUGGCUCCUGGACAUGCUGCAGCUUUUUCAGAUGAUUGUGAUCUGCCUUCUACACAUGAAAUGAUUAGAAGUGUAGGGAUGCAGAACACGUACAUGGGAUUCCUGGACUAUAGAAAGCAAGCCAUCAGAGACCUUGGCAUCAGCCCCAGCACCUGCUCCUUUAAUCCUGGAGUAAUUGUUGCUAACAUGACUGAAUGGAAACAUCAGCGGAUUACGAAGCAGUUGGAAAAGUGGAUGCAAAGAAAUGUAGAGGAAAACCUCUACAGCAGCACCCUUGGGGGAGGUGUGGCAACCUCUCCAAUGCUGAUUGUGUUUCAUGGAAAGUAUUCCUCUAUUAAUCCUAUGUGGCACAUAAGGCAUCUUGGUUGGAGUCCUGAUGCCCGUUACUCAGAGCAAUUUCUUCAAGAAGCUAAACUACUUCACUGGAAUGGGAGAUACAAACCUUGGGACUAUCCCAGUGUCCACACUGAUCUCUGGGAAAACUGGUUUAUUCCUGACCCUUCAGGGAAGUUCAAAUUAACUCGUCCUGACAGCUGAUACUGAAACAACUUAAAUACUGCAAAAUGUAGUGUAUUGGAUGCAUGUAAUAGUUUGAGAUGCAGCAUAUGAGUCAUAUGAUUAACUGAUUUUAGAAAAUGAAAUAUUUGUUGAAUAUAUGAAUAACUGACCCUCACUUUUGUGUGCUUAGGGCUGGAGAGGGAGGCUGGAGUGACCAUUACACAGUUCAGAUUAUCCUGACUUUCAUGUAAGGUACAAUACUUGACAGGAGUACUUAUGGGAUUUAAAUCACUCUUGGAUGGUUAAAAGCAAAAUCCCUCUCUGAAACCAAAACAAAAGAAAAUCAGGAGAAAAACAAACCCCAAACCAGUUUAAUUAAAAUACCAUAAAUUUUAAAAAAGUUCUGCAAAUUCUAAGAGAAGAAAGGAAAACAAAAACGUACAAAAAUGGUUUCCAGGUCCCGGAUAAUGAUGUCCUUUGUAAGCUGCCAUCAGGCCAGGGUUUAUGCCAAUCUACAAAGAUAUCAGUCCAUUUGAACAAUGAGAACAUGGCUUGCUAGUCAGCAAUUUGAUCAAGUUACAGUAAGGAUGCUUGAUUCAAUUCUAAGGUACUGUCAACAAACAAAAUUGUGUUAAUGGCACCUUCCAUUAUUAUCUAAAAAACCUGUCAAUUUUAGAGCAGUGCCUCAUUUAGCUGUGCAAUGUCAAAAGGGCAGCUCACAGAGUGCAGAGCUUCCAGUAAACCAAGUAUCAAGUAACAGUCUCUCAUGACUCUGUAUCAUACCUAAACCUUAGAUUUCUCAGAAAUUAGGACUGUGUUGUUA